rnacentral:rRNA from 1 species
AGGGUUUGAUCCUGGCUCAGAGCGAACGCUGGCGGCGUGGUUUAGGCAUGCAAGUCGAGCGCGAAAGCGGACUUCGGUCCGCGAGUAGAGCGGCGAAAGGGUGAGUAACGUAUAGGUAACCUACCCUCGACCCUGGUAUAGCGCCUGGAAACGGGCGGUAAUCCCGGAUUGUCCCGGAGGCAGGAAUCUGCCUGCGGGUAAAGAUGGGGAUCUUCGGACCUAUCGGUUGAGGAGGGGCCUAUGCCCCAUCAGCUUGUUGGUAAGGUAACGGCUUACCAAGGCAUUGACGGGUAGCCGGACUGAGAGGUUGGCCGGUCACACUGGGACUGAGACACUGCCCAGACUCCUACGGGAGGCUGCAGUCGAGAAUCUUCCGCAAUGGGCGAAAGCCUGACGGAGCGACGCCGCGUGGAGGAUGAAGGCCUUCGGGUUGCAAACUCCUGUCACGGGUUAAGAAUGGCAAGGCGCUAAUAUCGCCUUGUUUGACGAAGGCUCGAGAGGAAGUCACGGCUAACUCUGUGCCAGCAGCCGCGGUAAUACAGAGGUGGCAAGCGUUGCUCGGAAUUACUGGGCAUAAAGGGCGUCUAGGCGGAUCGGUAAGUCGGCUGUGAAAGCCCUCGGCUCAACCGAGGAAGUGCAACCGAAACUGCAGGUCUUGAGGACGAGAGGGGAGAGUGGAACUCCUGGUGGAGCGGUGAAAUGCGUAGAUAUCAGGAGGAACGCCGGUGGCGAAAGCGACUCUCUGGCUCGUUUCUGACGCUGAAGCGCGAAAGCUAGGGGAGCGAACGGGAUUAGAUACCCCGGUAGUCCUAGCCGUAAACGAUGGGCACUAAGCAGUGGCGUUUUCGAUGGCGUCACUGCCGCAGCUAAUGUGUUAAGUGCCCCGCCUGGGGAGUACGGUCGCAAGGCUGAAACUCAAAGGAAUUGACGGGGGCUCACACAAGCGGUGGAGCACGUGGUUUAAUUCGAUAAGCGAAGAACCUUACCUGGGCUUGACAUGUACGUGGUAGGAGCUGGAAACAGUGACAACCUUUCUCGUAAGAGAAGGGAGCGUACACAGGUGCUGCAUGGCUGUCGUCAGCUCGUGUCGUGGGACGUCAGGUUAAGUCCUGUAACGAGCGCAACCCCUACCGUUAGUUGCCAGCACGUUAUGGUGGGGACUCUAACGGAACUGCCGGUGAAUAGCCGGAGGAGGGAGGGGACGACGUCAAGUCAGUAUGGCCCUUAUGUCCAGGGCGACACACGUGCUACAAUGGGUGAUACAGAGGGUCGCGAAACCGCAAGGUGAAGCCAAUCUCAGAAAGUCAUCCUCAGUUCGGAUUGGGGUCUGCAACUCGACCCCAUGAAGUUGGAAUCGCUAGUAAUCGUGGGUCAGCCAUACCACGGUGAAUACGUACUCGGGGCUUGUACACACCGCCCGUCACACCAGCCGAGUGGGGGAUGCUCGAAGUCGUUUCGUUUCAGGAGCGCCGAAAGUGUCCUUCAUGAGGGGGGUGAAGUCGUAACAAGGUA